GGCUUAUAAGGCGUCGGGGUAACGCUGACUCGAGUUUCCAGUGGAAUACGGGAUGCCGCGGUAAGGUUCUGCUUUGUCCAAGCUCUUUUUCUGGACGGUUGAAGGGAUUCAGCAGAGUAGCUGAGACAGUUUGGGAGAAUGCACCACGCUUGGCUUCGCUCAUCGCCUCUACACUUAAGUGUGUGUGAGUGAGUGAGAGAGAUCCCCUAUCCCUUCCUUCUCUGCAGGAAGGAUGAGCUGCUCCAGAGCAUCAUCAGAGAGUAAGAGAAAGCGCAUAAGCACAGGAUGGAGGAGCUGCUGAUCCAGAGAACCGUGAGGAUGCAUGUUGGCCAAUACUG